UUUUGGUGGCUCAGACGGUAAAGAAUCUGCCUGCAAUGCAGGAGAUCCAGGUUCAAUCCCUGGGUCAGAAA
rnacentral:tRNA from 1 species